rnacentral:rRNA from 1 species
GACGAACGCUGGCGGCGUGCUUAACACAUGCAAGUCGAACGGAAAGGCCCUGCUUUUGUGGGGUGCUCGAGUGGCGAACGGGUGAGUAACACGUGAGUAACCUGUCCUUGACUUUGGGAUAUCUUCAGGAAACUGGGGCUAAUACCGGAUAGGAGCUCCUGCUGCAUGGGGGGGGUUGGAGAGAUUCGGCGGUUGGGGCUGGACUCGCGGCUUAUCAGCUUGUUGGUGGGGUAGUGGCUUACCAAGGCUUUGACGGGUAGCCGGCCUGGGAGGGUGACCGGCCACAAUGGGACUAAGGUACGGCGCAGUCUCGUACGGGAGGCAGCAGUGGGGAAUAUUGCGCAGUGAGCGGAAGCCUGAUGCAGCAACGCCGCGUGCGUGAUGACGGCCUUCGGGUUGUGAACCGCUUUCGCCUGUGACGAAGCGUGAGUGACGGUAAUGGGUAAAGAAGCACCGGCUAACUACGUG